CUGCUUUCUGUGAGGGGUUGUUCUGUAGAUAGAGAUCCUUUCACCAGUUGGGCCCUUUUAUUUUCUUGGGCUGCUGCUAAUCAGUAACUACAUUUUCCUGACUUCGGGGUCAUUACUGUGUUUCCUUUGCUGUAAGGAUUUAAAAGGGCUUUCCUAUCACUGACAAAUACCAAACCAGCUGCAGAAUGGAUCAGUAUUUAAAUGGGUUGCAUUGUGUGAACAGAGAAUGCAAAAAAUGCACAACUUUUGAGACGCCAUCACAUAUGUUCUGAGGCUGAUGAACUGAGGAGGUCUGGGAGCCACAUGUGACCAGCAGAAUGAGCACCGGCCUAUAGUGCAGUUUCAGUGGGAGAUGACUUUUGGGAAAGUUCCCACAGAAAUCCCAUUGUAGCAUUUCUGUUCUUACUGGGCCUGAUUUCAUUUAUUCUGAGGCUUCCUCACAUAUUUCUGGCAUUGCACUGAGACCUUAACAUGGACAUAAUGCACACUUGCAAUCUCAUUAAUGCUCUU